rnacentral:rRNA from 1 species
UACGAAGGGGGCUAGCGUUGUUCGGAUUUACUGGGCGUAAAGCGCACGUAGGCGGAUCGAUCAGUCAGGGGUGAAAUCCCAGAGCUCAACUCUGGAACUGCCUUUGACAUGUCGAUCUGGAGUAUGGAAGAGGUGAGUGGAAUUCCGAGUGUAGAGGUGAAAUUCGUAGAUAUUCGGAGGAACACCAGUGGCGAAGGCGGCUCACUGGUCCAUUACUGACGCUGAGGUGCGAAAGCGUGGGGAGCAAACGGG